AUGAAAAAAUUAAAACAGUUGAAUUUAAUUAUUCCUACUGAUCUAGGCGUUAUUUUCAUUACCCCAGGAUCUCACCAUCCCCUCCUCACCCUCCUGGCCCUGCUGGCCCUGCCAGGGCUCCGGGCGGCCGUGAUCCUGCUGGAGUGCGGGGGGGACCUCCAGCCCCCCGGGGGGUCCCUGACUCUGCUCUGCCGCGCCUCCGGGUUUGAUUUCUGGAGUUACUACAUGGCGUGGGUCCGCCAGGGCCCCGGGAAGGGACUGGAAUUCGUCGCACAGAUCAGCGACAGUGGUGGCAGCACCUGGCACUCACCGUCAGUCAAGGGUCAGUUCACGAUCUCCAGGGACAACGGGCAGAGCUCGGUGACGCUGACCAUGAACAACCUCAAGGACGAGGAUUCCGCCGUUUAUUUCUGCGCCAAGGGUGCUGAUGUUUUUUAUGCUGCUCAUGGUGUUCAUUAUAUUGAUGGUUUUGUUCCCACCUUUCCCCAAAUGUCCCAGACCCUUCCCCCAAACGCCAACCCUCGACCCCAACCCUGA